UGUGAGUGCCGCGCUGUAGGCUGUGGGAUGGUCGGGAGAGUGCAAGGUGUUGCUGUUAGGUGUGGUUGGGUUUACAGAAAGGGGAAGAGCAUGCAUAGAUAGAAUGGUGGAGUGAAAAAAAAAAAGAGGGAGAGAUGGAAGGAUUGGUCAUGCGCAAGACCGCAGGCCGUUGGAGGCAGCUUAGAAAUCUCUUACAUCUGGAACAGCCAUAAUUCGUGGGAUUUGGCCUGACAGCCAUGACAGGCACUGGGGCGGCCAGCAACAACUGUCUCCUGUGUUAGCAGCAGUGUGUACGUUAGCUCCGUGAGAGAGAGAAAGAGAGAUGGAGAAGGAGAGACAAAGAGUGUCAAUAUCCAGAAGCUGUGUGUAUACAUUAAAACUUUCUGUUUAUGCAGGGAGAUCACGGAGAUUAAACUCACCUGAACAUGGUAUGUAGCCUGAGCUGAAAUGGAUGAAAAUAUUUACUGUGUACACACCAUCCACAAAUCCUUUGCCACUCUUGAUCCCUGGCUUUCACUUUUUCCCCUCCUCUCUUGCUUCUUGCUCCUAUUUUUGAACACCUGC